rnacentral:rRNA from 1 species
AGUGAACGCUGGCGGUAGGCCUAACACAUGCAAGUCGAACGGCAGCACAGUAAGAGCUUGCUCUUACGGGUGGCGAGUGGCGGACGGGUGAGGAAUACAUCGGAAUCUACUUUUUCGUGGGGGAUAACGUAGGGAAACUUACGCUAAUACCGCAUACGGCCUACGGGUGAAAGCAGGGGAUCUUCUGACCUUGCGCGAUUGAAUGAGCCGAUGUCGGAUUAGCUAGUUGGCGGGGUAAAGGCCCACCAAGGCGACGAUCCGUAGCUGGUCUGAGAGGAUGAUCAGCCACACUGGAUCUGAGACACGGCCCAGACUCCUACGGGAGGCAGCAGUGGGGAAUAUUGGACAAUGGGCGCAAGCCUGAUCCAGCAAUACCGCGUGGGUGAAGAAGGCCUUCGGGUUGUAAAGCCCUUUUGUUGGGAAAGAAAAGCAGCAGGUUAAUACCCCGCUGUUCUGACGGUACCCAAAGAAUAAGCACCGGCUAACUUCGUG